GUGUAAUACUGAUUACAUUUCUCUUUUAUUUAAUUAGUUGUACUGUAUAUUGUAAAUAGACAUAAAAUAAUCAAAACAUUAAUAAAAUCAGCAGUUAAAAUAUACAUAUUUAAGAAACACAUACAGUAUUGAAUACAUUGAGGCUUGCAUUGCAGGGGGCUGGACUAGAUGGCACUCUGAGUCUCUUCCAACCAAAAUGGAAAACUGUACAGGCUCCGUGUAUUUGAAUAAAGAGCAAAGCUUGAUGGCGGAACACCUGCUUUGCAUGCAGAAAGUCCCACGUUUGAUCCAUGGCACCGUAUUGGUCUCCUUUUUGUGCUGCUUUAACAUUUGCCACAAACACUUCCUAUGCUGCUGUGUUCACAUGCACUAAAUAUCUAUGCUGGAGCCACCAUCCCAUUCAUAAGAUCAAUGAUCUAUAUCUUGCUUGAACUCCAAGGAGCUCAGGAGGGCAUCUAUAGCUUCCACCUGCCCUGUUAUCCUUCCAACAAUUCUGUGAAGGAGGUUCGUCUGAGAGUGGGUUAGUGACCCAAGAUCUCUUAGUGACCACUACUGUAUGGCUGAGUGGGGAUUUGGUUUCUGGUCUCCCUGCUUGCUGCAGAACUGUAGCUUUUGUGCAUUUCAGGGGGUUGGACUAGAUGACCCCUAGGGCCCCUUCCAACCAUUGCAUAAACUCUGGUGUCUUUAAUUAACCCCCUUUGAGGUUGCAGAUGUUUGUGUUAGUCUUUUGAAGUGCUAACACAAGGCUUUGACCACGAGGGUGCUGCAACAGACUCGAGCCAGUUAGACUGAUAGGGAGUGGCUAGUCCAAGGUUACCCAGUGCGUCUCAUGGCUGAGCAGGAAAUUGAGUCCUGCUCUCCCAGGUCCAAGCCCAGCACUCUAAACCACAUGGACUCCUGGAAUCUUGGCAUGGUGGCCGUGUGUUCCAUGUCACCAAGCAACGGAGGCUGUGACUGUUUGAACUGAGGUUCUGGCAUCCUCAGCAUGGAGAGGUUGGCAGAGGUUUGCUGUAGUGACUCUUGCUUAUUUGGAUCAGAAUUUGGCGUCUGAAAGACGACUGGAGGUCACCUUCCUUCCUGCGGAGCAGCUCUUGGAGGCCAAGUGCUUCCUAGCCAGUGACCUUGCUGUUGAGAGCACCUUUGAGCCUUUGGACAUCUCCCACUUCCUGUAAGAGUUCAGUGUCAAAGCAGUGAGGUGGAGGUGCUGCUGGAGGCCUUCCAUAAGAUCACGCUGAGGUCUACAACGGAGGGCAGAGAAGUGGCCGUCUUAGCUUAUCAUCACCUGGAGAAAGUGAUUGAAUACCUCCUCCAAUUUCCUUUCAUAUACGGGGCGCUCAAGCUUCUACCAGCCAAAGAGAGAUGUUGGGAAUCUGCAGGGCUUGCUCAGAAAGUAACUCUCUCCCCAAGGAGGGAGGCCAGGCAGCUGGAGAACUUGGUCCCCACAGUGUCAGCAGCCAGUCUCCAAAUCUCUUCCUCCCUCUGGAUUCCCAGCUGAUUUGCAGCCUCAUGGUAACAGACAGAGGAUCUGGAGGGCUUGCGUUGUGGUACCAUAGCCAAGAUUAGGUCCUUUUAACAGGAAGAGCAACACAGCGGAAGCCGAGAAGGCAGGGGCAGCAAGGGGUGAAAUUGGUGCAGGUUUCCCCUCUCUUUUUGCCAUCUGCAGAGAUGCAGCAGCACAGAGGGGCUGAUCCAGAUCACUGAGGGAUCCUUCUGGAGUGCAGGAGACCAGGAAAGACCAAGCCAUUUCCUCUCUCUGUGGCAUGGCAGCAAGCAGUAGAGUUCCUGAUGGAGCCCGACCACCUGUGGAGGGGUCAGGUUUUGAGGCAAAGCGCCUUUCUGGCCCCCACACCACUGCCCAGAGAACCAAAUGGUCCCCUCUGUGCAAUAAUGUGCCACCCCUGAGCCAAAUGAUCUAACUGUUGCUGUGCCUGCAAGAGAAUAUGGCAGGAGGUUUUGGCUUAUAUGUGCCAAAUAAGGAACUCCAUCUGAUGGCAGAGCAAUUGCAUCAGAGCCCCUUAGAAGAGUUUGCCACUGCUGUGGUAAGGACGAAUCCCCUGCUUUCUGGCUUCCCCCCAGGGUAAAUAUCAAGGGGUUCCUGUGUUCUGCAGAAAAGCAGGGAAAGUGACUUGCACCUCUCUCUCUUCCAGCAACACCUGACCAGUCAGUUGCACGCCAUCCUCAGGAUGGAUGAAUACAAGGUACCUGUGCUUUCUACAGCUGCUGAUAGCUGUCAACUUCCUGCAUGCCCAGGAAUUCCUCAAGUGAAUAGUGCAUUGCAAAGGGACAAAUGGAGUCAUUUUUCCUUCGGCCUCUGGGGUUUCCCGGUCCAGCUUGGUUUUUCAAGGGAGACUAUCCUUCAGAUGGCUACUAGGGAGAAAAGAUGAGGAAGGAAUUCGAUUCUGUUUGCAUGUCAAGGCAGAUCUGCAUAAUUCAUAGUUUCUGGAAAUAUCAACUUCUGGGGGAGCCUUGUAAAUGUGGUUUUCCAGUUUGGUUCUUGGUGUUUUGGCCAUUGUUGGACACAAUGGUGUCUGGCAGGUCGUGUGUGGUGAAGACCCACCACAGGGCCCGGGUGACAACCCUGGAGGUCAUUGUUGAGACUGGCAUCACCUUGAACCACUUUGAGAAAGAGUCCACAAUGAUCAGGAACGUCUGACCUUGGAAUGAGCCAGCAAAAUCAAUGUGGAGACUUGACCACGGUGUGGGUGUCAUUUCCCACUGUUGACUCGGCGCCUUGGGCAUGGCCGAUCAGGACUCUUGGCAGGUCUGGCAAUCCUGGACCCACUCUUCUACUGCUGCAUCAAUGCCUGACCACCAGACGUAGCUCCUGGCCAAAGCUUUCAUACAGACAAUGCCUGGAUGACUCACAUGGAAAGCCUCCAGCACUCUGGUCUGCAGCUUAGCAGGGAUCAUGACCCAGUUUCCCUUUUGGACUGACAGUUCAUGUUGCUGGGGACGAAUGGGGACAACUGCACCAAGGCAACUCGCUGGCCACCCCUUUCAUACCCAGCUGAAGAUGCGGGAGAUGGUACAAUCCUUUGCCAAGUGCGUGGCAACAUCUGUGGCAUGGAGCAUUGGCUGGAGCAGAGUCUCCAGUAGCAUCACACCAUGGGCUUGGGAUGGGACGGUGUCAGUGUCUGCCAAUGACAGGCGGCUUAGGGCAUCUGUGUGGCCCAGUUUCCUACCAGGAUGGUGGUGCAGCACGUAGUCAUAUGCGUUGAGAAAGAUGGACCACCUUAGCAUCCUGGAUCUGGGCCGUCUGCUGAUCAGGAGUGAAAAGGCCCAGCAAAGGUUUUUAGUCAGUCACGAUCGUGAAGUGGCGGCCGUAGAUGUAGUCAUGGAACUUCUUCACUCCUGCCAUUAUAGCCAGGGCCUCCUUGUCAAUCUGGGCAUAAUUGCGUUCCAUAGAUGACAAGGUCCUGGAGUAGAAUGCAAUAGGGGUCUUCUGCCCAUCCAGCAACUGGUGGCUGAGGACCAUGCCGAUUCCAUACGGGGAAGCAUCAGGGGCAAACACAACGGGCUUGGUCUCAUCAAAAUGGUAAGGACGCUGUCAGAUGAGAGCAGGUGUUUGACAGCAUUGAAAGCAGCAUCCUGAGCAUGGCCCCAGUUCCAAGGGGCUUUCUUGUCCAAUAGGCAGUGCAGGGCUCUGCUAUUGCUGCCUUGUGGGGAAGAAAGGAGUGGUAGUAGUUUAGCAGGCCCAGGAAGGACUGCAGCUCUUGUUUCGGGGGGGGGGCAGCACUUUGGAUGGCCUUGACCUUUGCCAGUGUGGGGUGGAUGCCAUCAGCAUCAAUCAGGAAUCCAAGGAACUUGACUUUGGGCACCCCCAGCUGGCAUUUUUCUUUCUUCACCUUAAGGCUGGCGUCUUGGAAACGGCGCAGGACUUCUCGAAGAUGGGCCGCAAGUUCUGCCUUGGACUCCCCUGCGAUGAGGACGGCAUUAAAAUAAGGAAUGACGCCCAGGAGGUCUUUCAGGACAUAUUCCAUGAGGUUUUGGAAGAGGUCUGGGGCCACACUGACACCAAACUGUAGUCUCUUGACGCGGAAAGCCCCGCGGUGGGUCACGAUUGUCUGUGCCUCAGAGGUAGCCUCAACGACCAGGAGUCGUUGGUAUGCCUGGGCCAAAUCGAGCUUUGCAAAGACUUUUCCGCCGGCCAGCGAUGCAAGGAGAUGACACAACUGGAACAGGAUACACAUGGUGCUGCAGAGCCUUGCUGAGGGUGCACUUGUAAUCAGCACAGAUCCUCACAUCCCCGUUUGCCUUAAGGGGAGUGACAAUUGGGGUCUCCCAUUGAACAUGCAGGACUGGGUCAAGACCCCUUGUUCGAUGAGGUGAUCUAGCUCUGCAUCGAUCUUGGGUUUCAGGGCAAAUGGCAGUCGCUGAAGUUCUGCCACAAAGCCACAACAAAGGCAGCAAUGGAUUCACCUGGUCUUAUUUGUAGAAGGCAUGCCGGCAGGCAAUCUCUGAUGACUGGAGAGCGAAGUGGGUCCUCAGAUUCAGCGUUAUUGCAUCGAAUGUUGUGUCACUCAGUUUGGCUGGGUCCACCGGAGCCUGGGCAAUCUUGAACGUAGCAGGCCCACACACACUGAACAGUGUAGCCCGCUUCAGUUUGGAGUCAGUCACGUUAUUGGUUGCAAGGAAGAACCCAAGCUGAGUGGCAUCGGAGUCUCAUUCCCCUGGAACCGUGGUGUCAAAUUCCUUGAUGUGGUCCUGGGUGGCCAUGACAUCUGCUCUGUGUGAUCUGCCUUGUGGCUGCAGUCAGUUAUUUCAGCUCAGCUGAGGCGACAGUUUUCCAGCAGUGGUUUCAGCUUGUGGAAGCUAGCCAGGGCUGCAUACCUAGCCUUACAUCCCACCUUUGUGACCAGUCAAGUGGCCUCCACUUUGUACUCCACCCGGCAGCUAAGCAUCUGGUAAGGUCACUUUGUUUGCAGCUUUGCAUAGGGUUAUCCCAUUUCAUCUUCCCAACAAUUCAGUAGAUGUUAGUUAUGUAUGCCUAGCUGGGGCAGCCGGUGUCGCCAAUGCCUGCCUGCCCAGGUUCCUGGUCCUUGCAGGACUCUCUGCAGUCCUCUUGAGUGGGGGGGAGCAGGCAACCCCCCAGCAGCAGUUUGGUUCCAUUUCUCCGUUUUAAAAAGCCUCCUUGACCUCACUAAUUCAUUCACCAACAGCGGUGAUCAUUUCUGGGGCAACAAGAGGGUCCAACAUUACUGAUAUUCAGUACCCUUCUAACAGAACCUCCUUUCUGUCUUUCCUGCAUGAAACGAUGAAUCCAUGCUGGAAUAUGGUGGCCUAUUGACUGGAGCCUGGGAGGAGGCCUCUGGAAACAAGAAGACCCACACAAGAAUGUCAUCUGCCGGGAAAGGAGGCUCAGCAAAGACGCCGUCCACACCCUUAUGGUGACUUUGGGGAUUUUUCCAGAGUAUUUAAAGAGUUAUUACAGCAGGGUGAAAACGCAAGCAAGACUUGAAAUAUGAGCAACAGCUUCCUCAACCGUGUUCUACAGAAGAACUUAUAUAGUUUAGGGACCUUUUUAAUGUCUUACAUUUGAAUGUUUUUUUUUAAUCUUUUGUUGGACGCUGCCCAGAGUGGCUGGGGAAACCCAGCCAGCUGGGAGGGGUAUAAAUAAAUUAUUGUGGUGGUGGUGGUGGUGGUGGUGUUUGGGCAAGACUGAAAAAUGUCCUAGAAAGAAAGUCCUUAUGAUCCCCCAUUGUAGCAAGGCCAGUCAAGAAAUGAAAUGUGAACAAGAACUGGGGCACAUAUAAGGAACUCCUUGAUCUUAGAGAAGGUACUAUCAGGCUUAAAAAAGAGAGGAGGUUAAAAUUGAAUAGUAUGGGUGAAAUAUGCUGCAUUCAAGGGUAAAUAACACUUUAUCAAUUUAUGUAAGAAUGUAAGAGAGUAUAUUAUAUUUCAUUUUUAAAUAUUGUUUUCUUUCUUUUUUAUAUGCAUCAUUGUUCUCCCCCCCCUCACUCCCACCUUUUCCCUUGGUAUCACUUUAUUUCUUUAUAAUUGGAAUUCGUUCAUCAAUUUUUUUAUUAAAAAAAGAGUAAAUAUAUAAACCAUGGAAGGGGAGGAUGGGAAGCAAAUGCAUAAAGUAACUUACAGUUUAUGUUACCAUUUGUUAAUUUUUUUUGUAAAAAAUAAUAAUCAAUAAAUAAGAUUUUUUUAA